UAGCCACAUCGAGGCAUUCACCAGUAAGGUGCAAGAUGGAUUCAGAGCAAAAUUUUAGGAAGCUUAGUCUUUGAUUUGUGCACUUGUAAAAACUGUUGCACAGUUUUUCAUUUGAGCUGCGGAAAACUUGAUGAGUGUUUAAUUUUACGUUUCUGGCAGUGCCAAAGAAAGUGUGUUUAUUGCCGAGGAAUGUUACAGAAUAUGCAGCAACUGCUCUUCAGGCAUUUUUGAAGUGAAGUGCUGCAGUUUCUUAGCUACAGUUUUUAAAACACUGUUCACUAUGAACAGCCUGGACAAAUUGAAGGUAACAUUGCUUCUGGUACCACAUGUGGCAAUCUCUUGUUCCCUGGUUGCACCAUUACUCAGGUUAAGAGUGCCACAUUGCUACCGCUGUUUCCAGUGCUGUUGUCACCGAAGCAGCAGCUUUGCAUGAAUCUGUUAAGAAGUGCCAAGUUAGGUUUGUGUGGGAAGAAUCCAUACACUGAGAAAAAAUGUGGAAGAAAGUUUGCAUUAGCAGUGCAUAACCACAAUACGUAUUACUGGCACAGAGCCAAGAUAUUUCCAUCUUAUGUGGAUACCAUUCAAGGCGAAAACUUUUUGACAGGUUCAAGCUUAAGCUUGCAUCAACUGCACAUUGUUCUACCUGGUUAGCAUUUGAUUUAAAGUGAUUCCUGUUUGUCAAAUUCCUGCUGCUCUGCAUUUGGUUUCAACUGGCAAACGUUUGCAUUCAAAAUAGUAUAUGUAACUAAGUUAUACUGUGUAGGAAAUGAUAUUUCAGAAACCAGCGCAAUUCGUUCAUCUCCACUGGUUAUCUUUAGGGUUCAGUAGACAACCAGCCCACUGUGUGAAUGAUUAACUGGCACCAAUUCCAGCCAGUCCCAGCAUCAAACGAUCACACCACUCUGGCAUCACUCAGUUGUACAAGGUCGUUGCUACCAACCUUGUACCAACUGGCACCAGCCAUCAUGUUUGUACCUAUGUGGUACCAAUUAUUUGUUUUCUUGAAACCACUUAAACUGGAAGUUGUGCAAAUUGACUGGCAAGAUUUCUGCGUGGGAAAAAAAGUUGAGGCAAUUGAGUAUCCUUAAUCAAUGUGUUCCUUAAUCCUUACAAGUUGAUGCAAUUGAGUAUCCUUAAUCAAUGUGUUCAUUGCAUAGUGGUAAAGCAUAUAACAAGCUGCUUGAGAGUUCACAGAACAUCUGGUGACUUAUGUGCUGUGUUAAGACUCUCUUGCGACUUAUGAUUUGUACGUGCUGACAAACAUAUGCUGCUUGUUAACCAAGUGAAAGUUUGUCGAGCUCCUUGAGCAUAGUUUGCAGUGCAGCUUGCGCAGUAAAUAUGAGAUGUGAUAGCUUGUAUGCUUCUUCUGUCCCUGGAAACAUUCACAAGACUUCUUCUUGUUGAACUCGCAUUUGCAAUGCUCAAAGGCAAUGUAAAAGGGGUACAGGGGGCAAUCAAGCAGCGUUGUAUGUUUGUAUGUCUUGUCGUUUCACCAAGCAAGCUCGGCAGAAGUGCAUAGUGUGGAGGAAGAUCAACUUGCACAUUGAGCCGUCGAAUAAUUCACCCUUGCCCUGCCAUUUACAGCUGAACCUCGUUAUUGUGAAGUCACAUCCUACACAAAAAUACCUUCAUUAUGUCCAACAUUCAUUAUAAGCAUUAAUUCGUUACAUGCUGAUGAGGACGAAAAACCUUUUUUUAUAUUUACAUCGUUAUAUCCGGUAAUUUGUUACAUCCGAUAAUUCGUUGUAUCUGUGUUCGUUAUAUCGAGGUUCGGCUGUACUCCCGGUUAACUCUGUUGGUAAAGCAACUGUGCCGGGGAUGUGGUGCUGCUGGGUUCAGUCCCCAGAGCAGGGUGACUUAAUCUUCAACUGCGAGUUUUCCAAGAAAUCUGCAUGAGUUCUCUUCGUGGUGUCGUACGACUCUCGGGUGAAUGCCCACUUCGCAUUCAUCACCUCUUUGUGAGCUGAGCGUACAGGUGCUUCAAGUGUCAUUUCACCUCAGAGGCAGCAAUGCUGGGUUUCAUCCUUCGUGGCGAAGGAGAAACCCACCCGGGUAAAGUGAGACCACGUUUUAUUGACAUGUAUAUCGCGUUUGCAGCGUGUGAUAUUUUCCUUUGUCACUCGUAAUUCUUCGUGGUUGUAACCUCACCGGCAUGUAUUUGUGAUCAUCUGCACUGCACAUUCGGUCUUCUUUUUCUCUGUACUGCACCGUCGUGAAAAGUAAUGCCGUGUGAAUCUCACAAAAUCUAGAAUGACACCCGUGAUGUUUUAUUUGGCAGUUCGUUAAAACAGCACACAAACAAUGCGUGAUCUAGUUAUUGAACUGUCUAAUUUUGUGUGAACUGAAUGGUUUAUAUUUAUUAAAGAGCUCACAUGACUGAUGUAUUUAGUUUGCAUAUGUCAGUUGUGAGCUUGCAAGAAUCAACUGUGAAAAAAAAAUUUUUUUAAGUUGAAUCUGCUUUGUUUGUGUUUGGUCCUUGCAGAAUGUUUCUUUUGACUAAGGGGUCCUAACAGGCUUGGCAUCCUGAAUAUCCAGCAUACAUUUUCUCAUCAUCGACAGUGCCAAUCCAGCUUGUUGCCCCGUCAAUGUCGCUGUUUUGUCGUGACACACAAGUCGCAGCAGGUGCCGUUAGUUGGACGAACCUCUGCAUUAACUGGAGCAUGGGGACAACUCAGUUUGGCGCAUUCACUUGCCAUGUAAUGAGAAUUAGAAAGAAAACAGCGUCGCUGUGAUGUGGGACGUCAAAAUGCUUCUGCGUAUAAGAGUGCAUCAAUUAUGCACGAAUAAGGAUGAGGACAAGUUGUCGGCAUCGGGCGAAGGAGAGAAGGGAGUGAAGUGCCUCUGCAGCAGCACUGAUGAGAAUAUUGUUGCUUUAAAGGGAUAAUAGAGAGAAAAAUAAGUUGAACGGUAAUAGUAAAGCAUGUUUUUACAAUGCCAAAAAAAAGCUACUCUUACUGUGAGAAGUGGCUUGAUGAACCAGCAAAGAUGCAAAAAUGAAACACAUGUGAUGAUGCUGCCUUGAGCUUCUCAUUAGCUCACCUUGAUGUCAUUGAUUCAGACGGCAUUCUGCCCUUGUCAACCUAAUUAUUUAUUAGUAAAGAUAGGCUACAUUGUAUUCUAAAGGAGCCAGACUGAACUUAAGUUUUGAGAACAUUUACGGUGCGACAACAGCCCAGUUAUGAAAAAAAAACUUUGACAUCGUUUGAUAUGACACUGACAUUAAGGCACUGAGAUUUUGGUACAAACUUUGACACAAAAUUAAAGUUCAAACUUUAUUGGAUUUUCUAAUAAUCAAACUCCUAAUGAAUGUGAAAUUAACUAAAAUAGAGUUUUUAAUAAAUACUUUAUUGGUCUAAACUGAUUCUAGUGUUCGUUUAAAUGUUUGUCACUUGUGUGGACACUCGCAUGUUGUGUGCAUGGAACCAAGCCUGCUUAGUACACCUUGGAAGAAUUGCUGUAUGGCUACAUUCUCCAAGAACGUUACCGGAUUUAUUAUUUGUGACUGUUUGGCAAGUGCAGAUGUAACUUUUUUGUGGUUCAGCACCCUAAUUAUUGAAAAUGUGUUCUGUUGGCUAAAAAUAAUGUUAUAUCUGCACACCCAUACUAGUGUGAAGAAAACAUUUGCCAAGUUUAUCGAACUCUGAACCCAAAGCAAUGUGGCAAAGCUGUCGUUAUGGAUCACUUGUGUAGUAAAUGUGAUUGUUACAGGGCGAUUUUUUUUAAAGAAAGAAAUUGCCUUUGUACAUGUGCAUAUAUUACAGUUCCCACAAAUUGUUGACUGUUGCUUAUGGACAAAUCAUUCUGUUAGAGCCUCCUUUCUUUGUUGCACAUUAAAUAAUGUUUGAAAA
rnacentral:lncRNA from 1 species